AGAUUGAACGCUGGCGGCAGGCCUAACACAUGCAAGUCGAACGGUAGCACAGGAGAGCUUGCUCUCUGGGUGACAAGUGGCGGACGGGUGAGUAAUGCAUGGGGAGCUGCCCAAUCGAGGGGGAUACCAGCUGGAAACGGCUGCUAAUACCGCAUACGCCCUGAGGGGGAAAGGUGGGGACCUUCGGGCCUACCGCGAUUGGAUGCACCCAUGUGGGAUUAGCUAGUUGGUGAGGUAACGGCUCACCAAGGCGACGAUCUCUAGCUGGUCUGAGAGGAUGACCAGCCACACUGGAACUGAGACACGGUCCAGACUCCUACGGGAGGCAGCAGUGGGGAAUUUUGCGCAAUGGGCGAAAGCCUGACGCAGCAACGCCGCGUGAGUGAUGAAGGCUUUCGGGUCGUAAAGCUCUGUCGAGGGGAAAGAAGUGUAUUUGGGCUAAUAUCCCUGAUACUUGACGGUACCCCUAAAGGAAGCACCGGCUAACUCCGUGCCAGCAGCCGCGGUAAUACGGAGGGUGCAAGCGUUGUUCGGAAUUAUUGGGCGUAAAGCGCGUGUAGGCGGUUUGUUAAGUCUGGUGUGAAAGCCCUGGGCUCAACCUGGGAAGUGCAUUGGAUACUGGCAAACUUGAGUACGGGAGAGGAUAGUGGAAUUUCGAGUGUAGGGGUGAAAUCCGUAGAUAUUCGAAGGAACACCGGUGGCGAAGGCGGCUAUCUGGACCGAUACUGACGCUGAGACGCGAAAGCGUGGGGAGCAAACAGGAUUAGAUACCUUGGUAGUCCACGCUGUAAACGAUGUCGACUUGGAGGUUGUGCCCUUGAGGCGUGGCUUCCGGAGCUAACGCGUUAAGU
rnacentral:rRNA from 1 species